rnacentral:rRNA from 1 species
UUAAGUUAUUAAGGGCGCACGGUGGAUGCCUUGGCACUAGAAGCCGAUGAAGGACGUUACUAACGACGAUAUGCUUUGGGGAGCUGUAAGUAAGCUUUGAUCCAGAGAUUUCCGAAUGGGGAAACCCAGCAUGAGUUAUGUCAUGUUAUCGAUAUGUGAAUACAUAGCAUAUCAGAAGGCACACCCGGAGAACUGAAACAUCUUAGUACCCGGAGGAAGAGAAAGAAAAUUCGAUUCCCUUAGUAGCGGCGAGCGAAACGGGAAGAGCCCAAACCAACAAGCUUGCUUGUUGGGGUUGUAGGACACUCUAUACGGAGUUACAAAGGACGACAUUAGACGAAUCAUCUGGAAAGAUGAAUCAAAGAAGGUAAUAAUCCUGUAGUCGAAAAUGUUGUCUCUCUUGAGUGGAUCCUGAGUACGACGGAGCACGUGAAAUUCCGUCGGAAUCUGGGAGGACCAUCUCCUAAGGCUAAAUACUCUCUAGUGACCGAUAGUGAACCAGUACCGUGAGGGAAAGGUGAAAAGCACCCCGGAAGGGGAGUGAAAUAGAACCUGAAACCGUGUGCUUACAAGUAGUCAGAGCCCGUUAAUGGGUGAUGGCGUGCCUUUUGUAGAAUGAACCGGCGAGUUACGAUUUGAUGCAAGGUUAAGCAGUAAAUGUGGAGCCGUAGCGAAAGCGAGUCUGAAUAGGGCGUUUAGUAUUUGGUCGUAGACCCGAAACCAGGUGAUCUACCCUUGGUCAGGUUGAAGUUCAGGUAACACUGAAUGGAGGACCGAACCGACUUACGUUGAAAAGUGAGCGGAUGAACUGAGGGUAGCGGAGAAAUUCCAAUCGAACCUGGAGAUAGCUGGUUCUCUCCGAAAUAGCUUUAGGGCUAGCCUCAAGUGAUGAUUAUUGGAGGUAGAGCACUGUUUGGACGAGGGGCCCCUCUCGGGUUACCGAAUUCAGACAAACUCCGAAUGCCAAUUAAUUUAACUUGGGAGUCAGAACAUGGGUGAUAAGGUCCGUGUUCGAAAGGGAAACAGCCCAGACCACCAGCUAAGGUCCCAAAAUAUAUGUUAAGUGGAAAAGGAUGUGGCGUUGCCCAGACAACUAGGAUGUUGGCUUAGAAGCAGCCAUCAUUUAAAGAGUGCGUAAUAGCUCACUAGUCGAGUGACACUGCGCCGAAAAUGUACCGGGGCUAAACAUAUUACCGAAGCUGUGGAUUGUCCUUUGGACAAUGGUAGGAGAGCGUUCUAAGGGCGUUGAAGCAUGAUCGUAAGGACAUGUGGAGCGCUUAGAAGUGAGAAUGCCGGUGUGAGUAGCGAAAGACGGGUGAGAAUCCCGUCCACCGAUUGACUAAGGUUUCCAGAGGAAGGCUCGUCCGCUCUGGGUUAGUCGGGUCCUAAGCUGAGGCCGACAGGCGUAGGCGAUGGAUAACAGGUUGAUAUUCCUGUACCACCUAUAAUCGUUUUAAUCGAUGGGGGGACGCAGUAGGAUAGGCGAAGCGUGCGAUUGGAUUACACGUCUAAGCAGUAAGGCUGAGUAUUAGGCAAAUCCGGUACUCGUUAAGGCUGAGCUGUGAUGGGGAGAAGACAUUGAGUCUUCGAGUCGUUGAUUUCACACUGCCGAGAAAAGCCUCUAGAUAGAAAAUAGGUGCCCGUACCGCAAACCGACACAGGUAGUCAAGAUGAGAAUUCUAAGGUGAGCGAGCGAACUCUCGUUAAGGAACUCGGCAAAAUGACCCCGUAACUUCGGGAGAAGGGGUGCUCUUUAGGGUUAACGCCCAGAAGAGCCGCAGUGAAUAGGCCCAAGCGACUGUUUAUCAAAAACACAGGUCUCUGCUAAACCGUAAGGUGAUGUAUAGGGGCUGACGCCUGCCCGGUGCUGGAAGGUUAAGAGGAGUGGUUAGCUUCUGCGAAGCUACGAAUCGAAGCCCCAGUAAACGGCGGCCGUAACUAUAACGGUCCUAAGGUAGCGAAAUUCCUUGUCGGGUAAGUUCCGACCCGCACGAAAGGCGUAACGAUUUGGGCACUGUCUCAACGAGAGACUCGGUGAAAUCAUAGUACCUGUGAAGAUGCAGGUUACCCGCGACAGGACGGAAAGACCCCGUGGAGCUUUACUGUAGCCUGAUAUUGAAAUUCGGCACAGCUUGUACAGGAUAGGUAGGAGCCUUUGAAACGUGAGCGCUAGCUUACGUGGAGGCGCUGGUGGGAUACUACCCUAGCUGUGUUGGCUUUCUAACCCGCACCACUUAUCGUGGUGGGAGACAGUGUCAGGCGGGCAGUUUGACUGGGGCGGUCGCCUCCUAAAAGGUAACGGAGGCGCUCAAAGGUUCCCUCAGAAUGGUUGGAAAUCAUUCAUAGAGUGUAAAGGCAUAAGGGAGCUUGACUGCGAGACCUACAAGUCGAGCAGGGUCGAAAGACGGACUUAGUGAUCCGGUGGUUCCGCAUGGAAGGGCCAUCGCUCAACGGAUAAAAGCUACCCCGGGGAUAACAGGCUUAUCUCCCCCAAGAGUUCACAUCGACGGGGAGGUUUGGCACCUCGAUGUCGGCUCAUCGCAUCCUGGGGCUGUAGUCGGUCCCAAGGGUUGGGCUGUUCGCCCAUUAAAGCGGUACGCGAGCUGGGUUCAGAACGUCGUGAGACAGUUCGGUCCCUAUCCGUCGUGGGCGUAGGAAAUUUGAGAGGAGCUGUCCUUAGUACGAGAGGACCGGGAUGGACAUACCUCUGGUGUACCAGUUGUCGUGCCAACGGCAUAGCUGGGUAGCUAUGUGUGGACGGGAUAAGUGCUGAAAGCAUCUAAGCAUGAAGCCCCCCUCAAGAUGAGAUUUCCCAACUUCGGUUAUAAGAUCCCUCAAAGAUGAUGAGGUUAAUAGGUUCGAGGUGGAAGCAUGGUGACAUGUGGAGCUGACGAAUACUAAUCGAUCGAAGACUUAAUCAA